UUUCUCACUUCAGCAGCACAUAUAUUAAAAUUGGAAAGAUACAGAGAAGAUUAGGAUGACCCCUGCAUAAGGAUAACACCCAAAUUUGUGAAGCAUUCCAUAGUUUU
ensembl:snRNA U6 U6 spliceosomal RNA